CCUACGUACGAUUUUGUCUGCCUCCCAAGAGACCCGAGCUCUGCAAUGGCUUCCCACGCCUGCCACGGUGCGUGGUCCCAAACAGAUGCGCCGCAGACAGCAGGUGAUGUCAGGAGCCUUGGAUGACCCUGGUGUCGGGGUGCUCACUACCUCUCACUGGUGAUUAUCCUGAUCAUUAGAAGGCAGCAUUUGGCUCCAUCCAUCUCCAGCCUCUGUGUGCCCCCACCCAGCAGCGGAGAAUGACCCCCUUUCCCACGCCAGGCAAGUCCCCAGAGGGAGCUUUGGCUGGAAGAAGAAGCUACCAGACUGGGGGCCAAGAGAGGGGAGACGCUGGUGAAGGACAACAGUGGCUCAGUGUUUUCCAGGAAGGCUGGAGUGCACGAAGAAUGCAAAGGUGGGAAAGGAACUGCUGGGGGUGGCCCUGUGCCCCCUGACGUGUCUCCCUUGGGUGCGGUGGUGGGCGGGGGGGCUGUCCACUCCACCAACCACAUAAGUCCCGGCCACUAGCAGAGACGGGCAGGGCCAGCCACAGAGGUGCACGAUCGGCACCUGGCUGCAGUGGCUUUCCAGGGUCUGUCCCUUUCGGCAUGCCCUUAACCAGGCAGACGUUCUAAAGGUUUCUGCACACCACAGAAAGGGGGAGGGGGGCAGGGCCACGUGACACAGAGCCUCACCUCACUGAGCCCACAGCUUCCUCAGCUGCAAAAUGGGACCAAUGGAACCCAUUUCCCUGGACGGCCGUGAAGGUUUCAUGAGAGAAAUAAGCUGUUUGGGAAGUUCUCAGAGAGCGGUGACCCCUCCCUUAUGAUUAACCAGCCCCGGGAGCCGCUCCAGGAUGCAUCUUGACAAUUGGAAAUACGGAAAGACACAAGGCCGUGCUGCUGUGGGCAUCUCGUUAUGAGAACGUUGGUUUCUUGGGUUAUAUUAAGAUGUGGUUUUCCUGUUCAAGCCUCUGAAAUCCCCUGUGGGUUCUCUGGGGGUUCAGCAGCAGGGGAAGAGGUAGGUCCCCAACAAGGAGUGGGCAGGAGAAGGAGGUCCGGCCUCCUGCACUUUGGUUGCUGCCUGAACUUGGGAAACCAGCCCCGGGUCCUUGGGGGUUGCCACAAAGGGUCCCUACGCCGGACUCCCACCAUUAGCGAAUCAAAACAUAAGAGGUGCA